rnacentral:lncRNA from 1 species
GUGGGCUACAGUCCAUGGGGUCAUGAAGAGUCGGACAUGACUGAGCGACUAAGCACAGCACAGCACACAGCACAGCCAUAUACGUACCUACAUCAAUUCUGGAUCAGAUCUUAGGUUAGAUCAUUGGGAAAGAAUAUCAGGAUGCUGAAAUAAUAGAACAAACAUAACCACAGCUCAGGUGGUAUAACACUUUCACCUCUCUCUCCUUAACUUUUCAAACCCAGUUUUGUCCCUAUCAACGAAUACUAAAAUAGCAUUAUUAAAAGAGAUUAUUGACCUCCUAACCAUCCAAACCAUGGCCUUUCUUCAGUUCUUACUAUUUUUGAACUCUACAUAGCAUAUGACUCUGGUAAUCUUCUUAAAAUGGUCUCCUUCUUUGAGUUUGGGGAUAUGAAGCUAUUGCAUUUUUUUCAUGCUUCUCAAAGACCUGAGUUUUUUUGUAUGUUUUUCUUCACUUGCUACUAAUGUUAAUUGUUUUUCCUUUUCUCUCUAUUUACCAUCUAUUUCAGAUGUCACAUCCAGUUUCUAGCUCAAAUAUCGUUAUAUGGAAGACCUCCAAAUAAUUAUAAACUUCCUAGCCCAAAGAAAUAAAACAAUGGGAAAAAGAUAUAUAGGCAGUGAGUAAUCCACACACUGCUAGUCACUCACUGGAAAGAGAAUCUAUGUGUUUCCUGGGAAAGGUAUAGAUUAGACUUGGAAUUUAUGAGCUGUUCAAAUUUUUAUCCUUUGUUAAAGCUAAUAGUGACUCCCUUCUGCUUUUGGAGCUUGGGCAAGUUUCUUGAAUCCUCUUUACAUAAACUUUGCCUCUUUUUUCUCCUUUCUGAAAACAUAGGGACUUUUAUUAUCUGGAUUUGAUAUCUGCGUUAGUAUUAGAGUUAUGGGGUUUUGAAUAUUGACUCAUUUCUUUCAUGUCAUGCUCCAUAGUAGUAGACCAUGCACAGAACAAGACCCAAGCAAGAAAAGCUUACAAAAACUAAACAUGAACUCAUAUGAAAUGUUACAAUGAAACUGUUAAUGGUUUAUAAAAAUAUGGAUAUCCUUCCCAAACCUUUACUUGAAUAAAGAUUUUUUUAAUAUAUAAAUUGAAACAUCCAUGGUAAUUUUGACGGAGAGAGUACUGAAAGGAAGAUGGGUCCCUGAGUCAAGUCACAGUUUCAUACAGAGGUUUCACAACUUUCUAGUUCAACCUCAGUUUCCUUAUUUCUGAAACAGAAUUAUUAUAAAUUCUUGUUAUGGUUCUUGGGGGUACUAAAUGAAAUGAUGUAAAAUGCUUAGAACAUUUUAAUUCUUAUAAACAUUAGUUAAUCUUAUAAUAGUGUCUCCAUAGUAAAAGAGGAGGACCAGGAGACUAAAAUAAGUCUAAAUGAUAUGAAAGAAAUCAGACUGUGAUUUAACUGAAAUCAGGAAGUCAACUUCAAAACAGAUCAAGAUAUCUUGUACUGUACUCCUAUUCAGUAUUGAUGACAAGUAUAAUUACGACCAUCGCU